rnacentral:rRNA from 1 species
UACGGAGGGUGCAAGCGUUGUCCGGAAUCACUGGGCGUAAAGGGCGCGUAGGCGGCCUGGUAAGUAGGGGGUGAAAUCCUGCGGCUUAACCGCAGGGCUGCCUUCUAAACUGUCAGGCUUGAGCACGGUAGAGGCAGAUGGAAUUCCCGGUGUAGCGGUGGAAUGCGUAGAGAUCGGGAAGAACAUCAGUGGCGAAGGCGGUCUGCUGGGCCGUUGCUGACGCUGAGGCGCGACAGCGUGGGGAGCAACAGG